CGCUGGCGGCAGGCCUAACACAUGCAAGUCGAGCGGGGACUUCGGUCCUAGCGGCGAACGGGUGAGGAAUGCUUGGGAAUCUGCCUGGUAGUGGGGGAUAACGUUCCGAAAGGAACGCUAAUACCGCAUACGUCCUACGGGAGAAAGUGGGGGAUCUUCGGACCUCACGCUAUCAGAUGAGCCUAGGUCGGAUUAGCUAGUUGGCGAGGUAAAGGCUCACCAAGGCGACGAUCCGUAACUGGUCUGAGAGGAUGAUCAGUCACACUGGAACUGAGACACGGUCCAGACUCCUACGGGAGGCAGCAGUGGGGAGUAUUGGACAAUGGGCGAAAGCCUGAUCCAGCCAUGCCGCGUGUGUGAAGAAGGUCUUCGGAUUGUAAAGCACUUUA
rnacentral:rRNA from 1 species